rnacentral:rRNA from 1 species
AGCGAGAGGUGCUUGCACCUUUCAAGCGAGUGGCGAACGGGUGAGUAACACGUGGAUAACCUGCCUCAAGGCUGGGGAUAACAUUUGGAAACAGAUGCUAAUACCGAAUAAAACUUAGUAUCGCAUGAUAUCAAGUUAAAAGGCGCUACGGCGUCACCUAGAGAUGGAUCCGCGGUGCAUUAGUUAGUUGGUGGGGUAAAGGCUUACCAAGACGAUGAUGCAUAGCCGAGUUGAGAGACUGAUCGGCCACAUUGGGACUGAGACACGGCCCAAACUCCUACGGGAGGCUGCAGUAGGGAAUCUUCCACAAUGGGCGCAAGCCUGAUGGAGCAACGCCGCGUGUGUGAUGAAGGCUUUCGGGUCGUAAAGCACUGUUGUAUGGGAAGAAAUGCUAAAAUAGGGAAUGAUUUUAGUUUGACGGUACCAUACCAGAAAGGGACGGCUAAAUACGUGCCAGCAGCCGCGGUAAUACGUAUGUCCCGAGCGUUAUCCGGAUUUAUUGGGCGUAAAGCGAGCGCAGACGGUUGAUUAAGUCUGAUGUGAAAGCCCGGAGCUCAACUCCGGAAUGGCAUUGGAAACUGGUUAACUUGAGUGUUGUAGAGGUAAGUGGAACUCCAUG